rnacentral:hammerhead_ribozyme from 1 species
AUCCAGUUGACGAGUCCCAAAUAGGAUGAAACGUACGUCCUGGAU